GGUACUUGUACCGACUGGAUGAGCAGCGAACGGGUGAGUAACGCGUGGGGAAUCUGCCUUUGAGCGGGGGACAACAUUUGGAAACGAAUGCUAAUACCGCAUAAAAACUUUAAACACAAGUUUUAAGUUUGAAAGAUGCAAUUGCAUCACUCAAAGAUGAUCCCGCGUUGUAUUAGCUAGUUGGUGAGGUAAAGGCUCACCAAGGCGAUGAUACAUAGCCGACCUGAGAGGGUGAUCGGCCACAUUGGGACUGAGACACGGCCCAAACUCCUACGGGAGGCAGCAGUAGGGAAUCUUCGGCAAUGGACGAAAGUCUGACCGAGCAACGCCGCGUGAGUGAAGAAGGUUUUCGGAUCGUAAAACUCUGUUGGUAGAGAAGAACGUUGGUGAGAGUGGAAAGCUCAUCAAGUGACGGUAACUACCCAGAAAGGGACGGCUAACUACGUGCCAGCAGCCGCGGUAAUACGUAGGUCCCGAGCGUUGUCCGGAUUUAUUGGGCGUAAAGCGAGCGCAGGUGGUUUAUUAAGUCUGGUGUAAAAGGCAGUGGCUCAACCAUUGUAUGCAUUGGAAACUGGUAGACUUGAGUGCAGGAGAGGAGAGUGGAAUUCCAUGUGGUAGCG
rnacentral:rRNA from 1 species